AACGCUAGAAGUCUACUGUUAGACAGAGUACAGAAAUUUUGUCACAGGACUUUUGAGCGUUGC
rnacentral:pre_miRNA from 1 species